AGAAUCAACGCUGGCGGCGUGCCUAACACAUGCAAGUCGAACGAGAAAGGGUAGCAAUACCUGAGUAAAGUGGCGCACGGGUGAGUAACACGUGACUAACCUACCCUGGAGUGGGGGAUAACUGAGGGAAACCUUAGCUAAUACCGCAUAAUACCUACGGGUCAAAGGAGCAAUUCGCUUCAGGAGGGGGUCGCGGCCGAUUAGUUAGUUGGCGGGGUAAUGGCCCACCAAGACGAUGAUCGGUAUCCGGCCUGAGAGGGCGCACGGACACACUGGAACUGAAACACGGUCCAGACUCCUACGGGAGGCAGCAGUGGGGAAUUUUGCGCAAUGGGGGAAACCCUGACGCAGCAACGCCGCGUGGAGGAUGAAGUCCUUCGGGACGUAAACUCCUUUCGAUCGGGACGAUUAUGACGGUACCGGAAGAAGAAGCCCGGACUACUUCGCGCCAGCAGCCGC
rnacentral:rRNA from 1 species